UCGCUUUAACUUUACAUUGUUCACUUAUCACUUUUCCAUUGCACUUGCAUUCUCAAUCACAUUUUUAUGAAGGUUUAUAAUUUUUAUUUUUUCAUCUUUUAAGAGUUUCAUUGCAUGAUGUCACUUUUGCGGACAUCAACGAGAGCACUAAGGAUUCCCUCUACAAUGUGGGUACAUCAUUUAUCACUUAUCACUUGUCACUUAUCAUUUGUUAUUUAUCACCUAUAACUUUCUCAAUUCACCCAAACAC
rnacentral:lncRNA from 1 species